UACGUAGGCAGCAAGCGUUGUUCGGAGUUACUGGGCGUAAAGGGUGUGUAGGCGGUUGUUUAAGUUUGGUGUGAAAUCUCCCGGCUCAACUGGGAGGGUGCGCCGAAUACUGAAUGACUCGAGUGCGGGAGAGGAGAGUGGAAUUCCUGGUGUAGCGGUGAAAUGCGUAGAUAUUGGGAGGAACACCAGUGGCGAAGGCGGCUCACUGGACCGGUACUGACGCUGAUGCGCGAAAGCGUGGGGAGCAAACGGG
rnacentral:rRNA from 1 species